AUUGAACGCUGGCGGCAUGCCUUACACAUGCAAGUCGAACGGCAGCACGGGAGCAAUCCUGGUGGCGAGUGGCGAACGGGUGAGUAAUAUAUCGGAACGUGCCCAGUCGUGGGGGAUAACGUAGCGAAAGCUACGCUAAUACCGCAUACGAUCUACGGAUGAAAGCGGGGGACUCGUAAGGGCCUCGCGCGAUUGGAGCGGCCGAUAUCAGAUUAGGUUGUUGGUGAGGUAAAAGCUCACCAAGCCUGCGAUCUGUAGCUGGUCUGAGAGGACGACCAGCCACACUGGAACUGAGACACGGUCCAGACUCCUACGGGAGGCAGCAGUGGGGAAUUUUGGACAAUGGACGCAAGUCUGAUCCAGCAAUGCCGCGUGCAGGACGAAGGCCUUCGGGUUGUAAACUGCUUUUGUACGGAACGAAACGGUCUGCUUUAAUACAGUGGGCUAAUGACGGUACCGUAAGAAUAAGCACCGGCUAACUACGUGCCAGCCGCCGCGGUAACAC
rnacentral:rRNA from 1 species